UACGAAGGGGGCUAGCGUUGUUCGGAAUUACUGGGCGUAAAGCGUGCGCAGGCGGCUUCUCAAGUCAGGGGUGAAAGCCCAGAGCUCAACUCUGGAAUUGCCUUUGAGACUGAGUGGCUUGAGUACGAGAGAGGUGAGUGGAAUUCCCAGUGUAGAGGUGAAAUUCGUAGAUAUUGGGAAGAACACCGGCGGCGAAGGCGGCUCACUGGCUCGUAACUGACGCUCAUGCACGACAGCGUGGGGAUCAAACAGG
rnacentral:rRNA from 1 species